AAGGGCACCACAAGAACGCGUGGAGCAUGUGGCUUAAUUUGACUCAACGCGGGAAAUCUUACCGGGUCCGGACACACUGAGGAUUGACAGGCAAUAUUAUAAAAUCUUAACUCACUUCGGUGUGCUUAAAUUUUAUAUGUUAAAUAUGCUAGUCCUUUCAUGAUUAUGUGAUAGGUGGUGCAUGGCCGUUCUUAGUUCGUGGAGUGAUCUGUCUGCUUAAUUGCGUUUCACAUAUGGGCUUAUAUAAUUACGUAUGCUGCUAACGCUUUGACCCCCUUUCUACGGAAUUGCGCGUGUCUUUGUUUCGUUUAGCUCAUACAAUUAAGCCCUGAAAGCAACGAACGUGACCGCAACCUCUUGUUGCUCUCAAUUUUGACUCGUUUAUACCAGACAGUCAUGCCAAUAUUAAUUCAUUUAUGUGCAUUCGUGCACACUUUAUUGAUUUUUAUCGGUCAAGAGAGCUUUCUAAACUAGAGGGACCGCUGUUACUUUCUUAAACCAGAGGAAGGUUGCGGCAAUAACAGGUCUGUGAUGCCCUUAGAUGUUCCGGGCUGCACACGUGCUACAAUGAUUAUUGCAGUGAGCAUCUCAUUUUUUACAUACAUCGCAUGCGCGAGUCCAUUUAUUCAUCACUUCGGUGUUGCUUUAAAUGUGUACCUCUGCGCGCGAUAAAGCCUACUUCGAAAGUAAGCGGGUAAUCAAUUAGAAGUAAUGAUUUCCUUUUUUUUUCUGCACGCAUAUAUAUGGCACUUAUACCCGGGUAGCCUUGUUGCUACUUCUGUGCGUAUCAGUGAUAUUUUGUGUUUUACACACAUUAUAUAUUACCAUAUGUGCAAUUGUCAAUUCAUGGUGGGGACAGACCAUUGUUAAUUGUUGGUCUCGGUCUUAACUAGGAAUGCCUUGUACGGAUCUUUGGUUCAACAAACCAUCCGGAAUACGUCCCUGCCCUUUGUACACACCGCCCGUC
rnacentral:rRNA from 1 species